CUCACUGAUUAGGAGCAAAAUUAAUGUGCAUGUUUAAUUCUUCUGCAAUACUUCACUGUUAUUCAUGAUACUUUACAGUAUUAUACUCUACUUACAAAACACAUUUCCUUAUAGUUUCGUCUGUGCUAAUUCAUUUUGCUGCUCUGUACUCCAAAAUCAUUUUGAAUUUGGGUCAACACAGCCAGCAGCGCUGUGCCUCUCACACUCACUAACCACCACCUUGCUCAAACAGAACAGCUGGCCGAGACCUCAAAAAGCCAUUCAAAUCCAUUAAAUACUGGAUCAGAAAAAAAUCUUUAGUACCACUUAGCUGCACAUACAAGUCUACCAGUUCGACUCUGCAAUCAGCCUACCUCGUCCUAAACAAGGGAAAUGUAAGUUAUGUGCACAGAAUCAUUUUCAUAUUGAAUGCUGCACUGUCUGCUUCUUCAUUACAGAUUUAUCUUUGUUCUCUAGAAAGAAGAAGGAAGAGCUGCUGACCUUUACUUGGAAAUAUUAAUCCCAGUCUACCUUUAUCUAAAGCGUGGGAGGAAGAAAAAGUCAAGAUUAGAGGCCAGGACUGUCUCCAGGAAACCAAAGGUUUAGGACAAACAGGACUUCUGACACAGUCGCAGCUGUACAAUAAGACGACCAGGUUGCAGUAGAACUGGGGUAACCAGAGAUUGAAUACUCACGCUAAGCAUUAGACUGACUCUACUACAUAGUUAAAGAAUUACAUGAGACUUCUCGAAUUUCAAUAUUCAAUCCGCGUCAGGAGCACAUCUUACACUGCUAGAAGGACAGUGACUUUUGAGAAGAUGGAAUGGCUUUUUCUUGACAAUGGUUGUUUUGCAGAAGAAAAGCUUUGCUAUCUUUAUCAUCAAACAAAGUCAGUGCCAGGAAAUAAACCACAGUCCUACUGAAGUGCUAAGAGCUUCUAUGUCACUCAUCUCCUACAAGAAAAAUAAUCAGAGAGACAAGAUCCAGAUCUUGACUUACCCAAACACAGAGGUCUACAGAUAAAGACCUUUGAUUUAACCUCAUCUCAAAUAGACUGCUGCAUCUGGCAGCCCAGAUGUGCACGUAACUCAUAGGAAUUUAGUCUGUUACAAAUCCAGACCUUAAUUUGUUUGCAGUAUGGGUUUUGUAUGCAUUUAAAAUGUGUAAUUUCUGGUCUGUAAGUUAUUCCAGGCUUCAUUAAGAGACAACCGUGGUUAUAAACAGAGUCCUCCUUUCCUAGUUACCCUUUUCAUUCCAGCAUCUCACAAGCCAUCUAGCAGCAUUGUAUCUUCUACAGACACCCACCACAAAAAAAAACAAACAAAACAAGGUAAAGACUACAUGUAUAGACUGCAGUCUUCAGUGAGGGUGGAGAGGAAGGAGAGAAAACAAAAACUGUAAGUAGUAGAAGGCUGAGGAUGAGAAAAGCUCUUCUCACAGCCAAACUGAUGUGCCACAAAACCAAGAGUUUAGACCAGCUACAAGUCACAAACUGGAAGCAAAUGGAUGAGAGAUGCCCUUGGAACCACUGCAGAUAGUCUAGUUUCUCAAUUGAAUCUCUGACUCCAUUAAGUCAGAACUGUGGAACGACUUUUUAUUUAUACUCAGAACACUCUACGACCUUUCAGAGUUACCAUGUAGCAUUAGUAGUCUCAGUUUGAAAAAACAAGACUUUACUUUGACCAAAUUCUUGCAUAAUGUAUUAUCACCAUCUAACCUUAAAACCAGUGAGCUCAUUUGAUAGGGAGAAAAAAAAAAAGAUAAAUAUAAUUAAAGUUCUCUGGUGUUUGGGUGCCCCUUUUUCUGCAAGGUAUACAAAGAGAUACAGUAACUUUGAAGGUAUCUACAUCAAUAUCACUCCUUGCUUACUGCCUGUUCAUCAGUGUGUUGUUAAUUCUUCUCGCCAUUAGUUGCUGAUAUUUUAGGGUUUUACUACUUCUUUAAGGUUUGUUUUUUUGUGUGGUUUGGUUUUGCAUUGUUGUAAAUCAAGAAGUUCCAUAUUCUCUAACCCUCCCACUAGAUUAUGCAAAGAUUUUCAAACAUUUGCUAGACUUUUAAGUAUUUAAAUUCAUUUAUAUGGCUCUUAGAAAGCAGUCCAGAUUAAUACACCCAUUAUAAAAUGUACACUGAAAAUUAAGGUUCAGUAUUAGAAGUUCAAUAUAUAAAUCCAGAAAACCUGGCUUGUUUAUAAAGCUCAGUGUUCUGUACAGAAAAAACCCACAACACAACAAAAAAAGUCUUUUAAAACGUUUGAGAUACGAUCAUGCUUUUUCUAAACAAUUCUGGGGACUCUACUAGAGCAAGGAUGGAAGACUUCAAAUAAAAGCCAACUAGAUUGGCUUGCAGUCCAUGCUGCUACUAAUAGUUGGCAUCAACUUCCAACAUCUUUUAAUUUACUGUUUGUCAUAUAAUUUCCUUUCUGAAAUUCUAUUAUAAAACCAAGAGUAAAAGCCUCUUUAACAACUAUCUAAGAGCAGCUAGCUGACAUUACAUCUCAGUAACCAAUCUUAUUUACUAGAGUACAGUAGAAGGCAAGAGCAUGUAAACAUGGUUUAAAUCUGUACGUUUUAUCCCAAACUUCUUUGCUACAAGGAUAGACAGGCAUUUGGUCAAGCUACCAGACAGUGGCUAAUUUAGCUUCAGAAAAACUAGAAAAGGACUAGAAAAGGUACUGAAAUAAAGACAGAAAGGCAGUAAGGAUUCUCAUUCUCUGUAUGCGCAAACCAACUGCAAGCUUUAUCACCAUUACAGGAAUUACCCUUCUUAUUCAGAUUUAAAUUUCAUCUUUAGAAAAACUUUAAGAAAAAUAAGAAAGUUUUAUUAUUUAAAGUCAUUUCAAGUGGUAUCUAAAGUAUCACUCAUCCUUUGUUAAUAUCAGAAGUUUCAUGCUGGGCAGAAAUCAAUAUGAGGAAAGUGAAUCAGUUCAGCCUGACUUCCUGUAAAAUCAUUUCAGUACACUGAAACAAGUAUAUUUAAAAUUUUGAUGCACAAGAUGGUUCCUGUAAAUGAACGUGAGCAUAGUUCCAUUUUACAACUACCAUCCUUUCCCUUUACACAGAAAGGACACGUGAUUUAAUCUACAUAGGUAUAAGGCAUGUGUUCUGCUGCAGGAACAGAAACUUUCCAAAAGUUAUCUGAAUUCCUGUCAGCUGUAUGACAACUUCAGUGAGCAAUGAAAAUCAUUACCAGACCUUCUAUGAAGUUGUCUUUUCCUACCUCCUCCAGCUGUCCAUUCUGACAAACUUUUUCCUUAAUUUUGAUAAAUACAACAGAAGGCCACCUGUGGGUUUGUGUGCUGUUGGGUUGCAGUCUUCUUUUUGACUGCUUCUAAUCAUGCCUUUCGUAGAGAAGCCACCUGGCUGGCAUCCUUUCAUAUAAGUAAGACUUACCAUAUGAUUCACUCACAUACUUAGAAAAAAGAAUAUGUGACACUUAAUUGAAUUACUGGUUCAGAAUUUACACUCAGCAUGGCACCUGAUGACAACAAUGAACAUUUUUGAACGUUGGGCAUUUUUCUUAUUAACAAAUAUUUUCAAAGGCUUCUAAGGUACUAGUAUUGCAUGUAGUUUGCUCCGAGAGUAAUGCCUCCUCCUUUUUACUUCCAUGAAAACUCCAAGAGAUGCAAAUUCUCAGCUACAAAACACUAUUUUUCAAUGUAGUCAUCACCAUUAGCUGUGCAUUUUCACUAGCAAUGAACAGGAGCCUCCAUGCUGCACUCGGAAACAUCUGCACCAGUGGAGAUGACCACUGUCACCAUCGCUCAAACGCACCACCCAUGCCUCCCUGUGCCAAAAUCCACUGGUUGGUCUCCAUAAACUUUCAGCAAGCAUCAAUGAAUGUCAAUAGGAAUGUCUAUUUCCCUCAUGAGGGAAUUCAAUUCCUCUCUUUGCUCCAUAAGCACUUCCAUGUCAGACACCACUCUGUCAGACCGCUCCUCUGCUGCCAGCUGUCA